GAUGAACGCUGGCGGCGUGCCUAAUACAUGCAAGUCGAGCGAACAGACGAGGAGCUUGCUCCUCUGACGUUAGCGGCGGACGGGUGAGUAACACGUGGAUAACCUACCUAUAAGACUGGGAUAACUUCGGGAAACCGGAGCUAAUACCGGAUAAUAUAUUGAACCGCAUGGUUCAAUAGUGAAAGACGGUUUUGCUGUCACUUAUAGAUGGAUCCGCGCCGCAUUAGCUAGUUGGUAAGGUAACGGCUUACCAAGGCGACGAUGCGUAGCCGACCUGAGAGGGUGAUCGGCGACACUGGAACUGAGACACGGUCCAGACUCCUACGGGAGGCAGCAGUAGGGAAGCUUCCGCAAUGGGCGAAAGCUUGACGGAGCAACGCCGCGUGAGUGAUGAAGGUCUUCGGAUCGUAAAACUCUGUUAUUAGGGAAGAACAAAUGUGUAAGUAACUAUGCACGUCUUGACGGUACCUAAUCAGAAAGCCACGGCUAACUACGUG
rnacentral:rRNA from 1 species